GUGCCCAGUGAUUAUAAAAAGACGCGUUAUUCUGAGGAACUCAACCUGCUACCAGUCUGUCUUCUACCUGCCCUCAGUCUUAAAAUCUCCCUCCUCCUCCUCCUCCUCCUCUGGUAGUGGGUCCGCUGACUGCGAUUAUGAGAUAUGAGGGCAU